AAGUCGAGGGGCAGCGCGGGGCGGCAACGUCCUGGCGGCGACCGGCGGAAGGGUGCGUAACGCGUGAGCGACAUGCCCGUUGCCCGGGGACAACCGGUGGAAACGCCGACUAAUCCCCGAUGGGACGGAGGCCCUCAUGGGUCUCUGUUGAAAGUUACGGCGGCGACGGAUUGGCUCGCGUCCGAUUAGCUUGUUGGCGGGGUAACGGCCCACCAAGGCUACGAUCGGUAGGGGUUCUGAGAGGAAGGUCCCCCACAAUGGAACUGAGACACGGUCCAUACUCCUACGGGAGGCAGCAGUGAGGAAUAUUGGUCAAUGGGCGGAAGCCUGAACCAGCCAUGCCGCGUGCGGGAAGGAGGCCCUAUGGGCUGUGAACCGCUUUUGCCUGGGGGCAAUAAGGGCGUCGCGCACGUCCGAUGAGAGUACCAGGGGAAUAAGCAUCGGCUAACUCCGUGCCAGCAGCCGCGGUAAUACGGGGGAUGCGAGCGUUAUCCGGAUUCAUUGGGUUUAAAGGGUGCGUAGGCUGUGCGUCAAGUCAGGGGUGAAAUUCCGGGGCUCAACUCCGGGGCUGCCCUUGAUACUGUCGCGCUGGAGUGCGGAUGCCGCCGGAGGAAUGAGUGGUGUAGCGGUGAAAUGCUUAGAUAUCACUCAGAACACCGAUUGCGAAGGCAUCUGGCGAAUCCGUAACUGACGCUGAGGCACGAAAGCGUGGGGAUAGAACAGGAUUAGAUACCCUGGUAUUCCACGCCGUAAACGAUGAUGGCUAACCGCCGGCGACAUACUGUCGGUGGCCAAGCGAAAGCGAUAAGCCAUCCACCUGGGGAGUACGUCGGCAACGAUGCAACUCAAAUGAAUUGACGG
rnacentral:rRNA from 1 species